GAUGAAGAACGCAGCGAAAUGCGAUAAGUAAUGUGAAUUGCAGAAUUCAGUGAAUCAUCGAAUCUUUGAACGCACAUUGCACCCGCCAGUAUUCUGGCGGGCAUGCCUGUUCGAGCGUCAUUUCAACCAUCAAGCCCCAGGCUUGUGUUGGGGACCUGCGGCUGCCGCAGGCCCUGAAAACCAGUGGCGGGCUCGCUGUCACACCGGGCGUAGUAGAUUUUAUCUCGCUCAGGGCGUGCUGCGGGUUCCGGCCGUUAAAAAGCCUUUUUUACCCAAGGUUGACCUCGGAUCAGGUAGGAAGACCCGCUGAACUAAAGCAUAACAAUAAGCGGAGGA
rnacentral:misc_RNA from 1 species